rnacentral:rRNA from 1 species
AAAUUGAAGAGUUUGAUCAUGGCUCAGAUUGAACGCUGGCGGCAGGCCUAACACAUGCAAGUCGAACGGUAACAGGAAGCAGCUUGCUGCUUCGCUGACGAGUGGCGGACGGGUGAGUAAUGUCUGGGAAGCUGCCUGAUGGAGGGGGAUAACUACUGGAAACGGUGGCUAAUACCGCAUAACGUCGCAAGACCAAAGAGGGGGACCUUCGGGCCUCUUGCCAUCAGA